GGCCCAGUGGUGUAUUGGUAAACAUGCCUAUUCAUUGUGACUUUCUCACUCGAUGUUUUGUGGGAGAUCCCUGUUCGAGUCGGGGCUGGGUCA